CGGUAUUUCGACUUAUCGUUUGGAAAAGGGUAAGUUGUUUUCCAGCUUUCUCCCGUCCCUUGCUCCACACAGAAAACACGGUCUUUGGUUCUCCCGUCCCUUGCUCCAUACCAGAAAUUGAUCGACUGUUUAGAAUCCUUCUCACCGGCGAGACGGGCGGUUGUCUUCUUAGGCUCUGAUGAGGAAAUCUAUGCUUGGGUUGUUGCAAACUAUGCACUGGGUAUGCUUGGCGGGGCAUCUGCUCAGGUUGAGAAGCACUCAUAAGAUCACCAUUGACUUGCUGUUAUACUUAUUUCAGGUAACCU